CUCCCGCUACCCCGCGCCUUGUGGUUGACGUAUCGUCGUCAAAACCUUUAUGCUGCAGUCUCCUGUUCCUGCUGCUGUUUGAGCACAGUUUUCUGGCUGUUGAUAACGUGAAGAUCGGCAAAUACCUAUAAACAGUACUGGACUGUUAAACUUACAGCAAGUGUCAGCCUUUGUUUGACUGGCUAGGCUUUAACCAAUGGAAGAUAAGAAGAAGAAACGGAGCCCAAAGGUUUCCUUGGCCCAGCCUCCUCCACCUUUCAACCCACGCAAGCUGUCUGUGCCUGCUAGCAAGAGUGCCAUUUUCUCUUUGGGGCUCCCACAGCCACCCUCACCAAAGCAAAGAAACAAGUUUAAAAGACUGCACAGAGAAAAGAUAAAAGUCCUUCAUCCAUCUGAGCCAGUUAAGCCACUACAAUCGUCACCACUGCAGCAUUCUUUCCUGACAGAUGUGUCUGAUGUACGGGAAAUGGAGGGAGGGUUACUUAGCCUGCUCAAUGACUUCCACUCUGGCAAGCUCCAAGCCUUUGGAAAGGUCUGCUCAUUUGAACAGCUGGAGCAUGUGAGAGAAAUGCAAGAAAAACUUGCCAGAUUGCAUUUUAGCUUGGACAGUCACAUGGAGGAGUUAUCUGAUGACCAAAAAAAGUCUGCAUCAGACCGCAACCUUGAGCAUCUGCUGUGUAAUCUGGAAGAGCUUAGUAGUUCAAUUCAGAAACUUCAUUUGGCUGAAAACCAGGAUCUCUUAAGGGCUUCUGCCAACUAGAGCCCUGGAAUCAGCCUAGUUCCUCUGCUUUGGACGUUAUCCAGCACUGCUAUGUCCUUUUUGUAGCCUGGAGACCAAAACUGUACACAGCACUCCAGUUCUAAACCUGGCCUGCCCACCCUUCCCCAGUCCUAGUUUAAAUAAUCCUUGAAUAACCUACUCAUAUGCUUCCCUAACACAUCUGUUCCAAAAGGAGUCCCAAUGUCCCAUAAACCUAUACCCUAUACCAAGAUUUGAGGCAUACAUUAAGCCUUCUGAUAUCUUCAGUCUCAUCUCGUCUGAUGUGUGAUACAGACAGAACUUCAGAGAAGAAUACCUUAUCAGUUCUGGUCCUCAGCCUGGCACCUCACUUCUUUAAAUUUGGAUUGCAGAACUGACAGACUACACAUAUAUAUUUAAUUUGUUCCAACAUGGACAAUGACAACUGGAUCCACCCCUGCUGUGGCCAAGAGCCUAUCAACCCUUCCAGGGAGGUUCCCCACCUGUACACCCGGAAGGCAACACACUGUGCAAGACUCUCUGUCUUUGGAGCAAACCUGCACUUCAAUCUAAUGACUGAGUCCACAACUAUCAUAACCUCUAUCUUUCUGGGAUUGGUUUUUCAUGCCUGCCUACCACCUUAGAAUUUUCAGAGGCACCAUCCAGUUCCUCAAGGACCUGAAAACUGUUUGACUUUUCCAUUUCUGGGGUUGGAUGGAUCCAACAGAGCAAUUUCAAACAUUAAAAGGCAUCUUCAGGUGUGUGCUUGUAGAACUAGACAUUUUAAAAAUAGAGAUUAACACAUCUAGACUUUUAAUCAGUUUUGUUGUUUGGUUACUUGCAAUACAGAUAAAUUUGUUUCUAUAGAAUUUUCUUUUUUUGUAGUCAUAUAUUUUAUAUGAUAUUGUGUAUGAGUCUGGUAAACUUGCAUAAUUUCAAAGAACAUCUCUGGCAUUUGUGUUCCACCUUUUCAAUGCUGCAAAAACAAUUUCCAAAAGUGUGCUUUUCCAGUUGCCAUUGUAUUGUAGAAUGAAAGAAUGUAAUUUUCUUUAAACAUUA